CGCAGGCGUCUCUUCGAAAGUGUGUGCCGUAUAGCCUCGCGGCCGGUAUGCGGUGGGCGCUUAGCAAUCAGGGAAGCAGUGUCAGUUCUCCCUCAUCCCCGGAUACAAGUUCGGAUAACUCCCUGCUAUGAAUUUUCCCACAGUUACUACCCACAACACUACCUCAAGGGAAUACGAAAACUACAAAGGUAAGGAUGGAAAGUCGCAAGCCUUCGGUAGUCGUGCUGGAGGAGCCCUCGAGACCAUAUGUCGAAGCCUUUAAGAAAGCCGUGAAAGGAACGAAGCCCCGCCGCGUGUGAAUCCCUACCAGUGGGGGAAAGCUAUUCACCCAAGGCCGAGCAGGACAGGGUUCCAUUUCCGUUGUGCAACGCGAAAAACAUUUCGGUCGAUGGCUACGGCAAGACCCCAUAAGUGAGCAGUGAACGUAUCCUGUUCGUAUAAAGACUGUAGUUCUUGCACAGUGA